rnacentral:rRNA from 1 species
CGUGUAGGCGGUUAGGUAAGUGGGAUGUGAAAUGCCCCGGCUCACCCGGGGACCUGCAUUCCAAACUGCCUGGCUUGAGUAUGGGAGAGGAUGAGGGAAUUCCUGGUGUAGCGGUGAAAUGCGUAGAUAUCAGGAGGAACACCGGUGGCGAAAGCGCUCAUCUGGCCCAAUACUGACGCUGCAGCGCGAAAGCUAGGGGAGCAAACG